AAUGGUUGCUAUGAGGAUAAAAAGCUCCCUCUUCUGAACUCAAGUUGAGGACAGAUUGCUGGCAGAAUCGAACCUAUAACUUUUUAUUGCCACUGCUGAGUAA